rnacentral:sRNA from 1 species
ACCGCUUCCAUGUCGGUGCGAUCGAAGCCGAGCGACCGCACGGCACUGACGCAUUUGAACAGAAGGACGGCACGGCGCCGCUCGA